AACGCACAUUGCGCCCGCCAGUAUUCUGGCGGGCAUGCCUGUCUGAGCGUCAUUUCAACCCUCAUGCCCCUAGGGCGUGGUGUUGGGGAUCGGCCAAAGCCCGUGAGGGACGGCCGGCCCCUAAAUCUAGUGGCGGACCCGUCGUGGCCUCCUCUGCGAAGUAGUGAUAUUCCGCAUCGGAGAGCGACGAGCCCCUGCCGUUAAACCCCCAACUUUCCAAGGUUGACCUCAGAUCAGGUAGGAAUACCCGCUGAACUUAA
rnacentral:misc_RNA from 1 species